UGGCAGCUCAGCAGAGGAGCCCAGCCCUGCAAUCCCCGGGGUUCCCAUUCAGUGAUCAGCACUGAGCACAGCCUCACCAUGGAGCCAGGACUCAGCUGGCUUUUCCUUGUUGUGCUUUUAAGAGGCGUCCAGUGUGAGGAGAAGCUGCUGGAGUCUGGAGGAGGCUUGGUGCAGCCUGGGGGAUCCCUGAGACUCUCCUGUGCAGCCUCUGGAUUCACCUUCAGUAACUACUGGAUGUACUGGUUCCGCCAGGCUCCAGGGAAAGGGCUGGAGUGGGUGGCAGAAAUAAGUCAUGAUGGAAGUGGUAAAUACUACCUAGACUCUGUGAAAGGCCGAUUCACCAUCUCCAGAGACAAUUCCAAAAACACGGUGUCCCUGCAAAUGAGCAGUCUGAGGUCUGAGGACACAGCCACGUAUUACUGUGCAAGAGACACAGUGAGGGGACUUCAGUGUGAGCCUGGACACAAACCUCCCUGCGACAGCGCUCACGGCCAGCAGGGGGCGCCCGGGAAACAUGGAUCUCGGUCACCCCUGAGCAAGUGA